UGCCGGAAUAGCUCAGUUGGUAGAGCAGAGGACUAAACUAUUAUG
rnacentral:tRNA from 1 species